rnacentral:rRNA from 1 species
AAUACCAUUGGUUGAGACAUUGUCUCAACUAUUUGGAAUGAGAACAAUUUAAACACCUUAACGAGGAACAAAUGGAGGGCAAGUCUGGUGCCAGCAGCCGCGGUAAUUCCAGCUCCAUCAGUGUAUAUUAACGUUGUUGCGGUUAAAAAGCUCGUAGUUGGAUUUCGGAGUGCGAAGGUCAAGGCCCGUCAAUUGGCGUGGUCCGACAGUCGCCUCCUAGCUUAGGGUAACAGCCUCUCUUCCUUUACGGGUUGGGAUGUGCCGUUCCCUAUCGUUUACUUUGAUAAAAUCAGAGUGUUCAAAGCAGGCGUCACUUGCCUUGAAUGUUGCCGCAAGGGAUAAUAGAAUAUGACUUCGGUCUUAUUUUGUUGGUUUCUAGGGCUGAAGUAAUGACUAAUAGGGACAGUUGGGGGCGCUCGUAUUGAGUUGUCAGAGGUGAAAUUCUAGGAUUUACUCAAGACGAACUACUGCGAAAGCAUUCGCCAAGGAUGUUUUCAUUAAUCAAGAACGAAAGUAGGGGGAUCGAAGAUGAUCAGAUACCGUCGUAGUCUCUACCAUAAACUAUGUGGACCAACGAUCCGAGGAAGUUACAUGGAUGACUCUCCGGGCAGUUUGUGAGAAAUCAUAAGUAUUUGCAUUCCGGGGGGAGUAUGGUCGCAAGGCUGAAACUUAAAGGAAUUGACGGAAGGGCACCACCAGGAGUGGAACCUGCGGCUUAAUUUGACUCAACACGGGGAAACUUACCAGGUCCGGACACAGUUAGGAUUGACAGAUUGAGAGCUCUUUCUUGAUUCUGUGGGUGGUGGUGCAUGGCCGUUUUUUAGUUGGUGGAGUGAUUUGUCUGGUUAAUUCCGUUAACGAACGAGACCUUAACCUAUUAAUUAGUUAUACGAACUUGGGCUUCGGUCCUUUCGGUUCGUGGACAACUUCUUAGAGGGACUCUCGGCAUUUCUAGUCGAUGGAAGUUUGAGGCUAAAACAGGUCUGUGAUGCCCUUAGAUGUCCUGGGCCGCACGCGCGUUACACUGACGAAUGCAACGAGUUCUUCCUUCUCCGAUGGGAGUGGGUAAGCUUUUAAAAGUUCGUCGUGAUGGGGAUUGAACCUUGCAAUUAUUGUUCAUGAACGAGGAAUUCCUAGUAAGCGUAGUGCAUCAAACUGCGUUGAUUACGUCCCUGCCCUUUGUACACACCGCCCGUCGCUAGUACCGAUUGAAUGAUCCGGUGAGGAUUCAGGAUGGCAGAGUUUUAGCUUGCCUGAAAGGGUAAGCGGAUUCAGCCAGAAUUUGUUCAAACCGUGUCAUUUAGAGGAACU